AUGCAUGUGAGGACACCUGUAAGUUGGGUUAAGAGCACCCGUGAAGCUUUGACGCAUAAAGCAUUCGCCUGUGAACUCCAUGCACAGCUGGAUGCACAGAUACUAGUCAAUCCAGAUCUUAGCCAGGGAAAACCACUAGCAAAGUCCGCCCUACGCCCCGUGCGCAACCCUCCUCUAGAACGAGCACUGACAAAUUCAUCAGAGGAGAUUCAGACUCCUGAAUGGAAACCUUAUGCCGGAUCUCAAGCUGUUCCAGAUACAGAGGGUGUGAGGACACCUGGAAGUUCGCUUAAGAACACCUGUGAAGCUUUGGCGCAUGAAGCAUUCACCGAUGAACAGCAUGCGCAGUUGUAUGCACAUAUAUUAAUAACUGCGGAUCUUAAACAGGGAAAACCACCAUCAAAGGCAGCCAUGCUUCUGGCCUUUGGACAACCUGUGGAGGGUCAGAAACAUGCAUGGGAGGAGGUUUGGCGUGCUGCUGUUGACAGAUACCAGAACCAAAUGUCACCACUGGGCUUUGAGACACCUUUUAGUUCCCAGAAUGGCCCGUUAGAACCAUCUCCUAACAGCAUGAGGAAUCUUGAGGAGUUUGAGCUGAAGGAGGCGCAUUCAGAGCUCGAUGAUGCACAGACUAGCAAAUGGCAGAACCAGAAGUCACCAGUGACUGGCUUUGAGACACCCAUCAAGUCUGUGAUAGGUAAUUGCACAGCUCAAGGUUUGGAUGUUCAGAAUGGUGGAGAGAUUCAGCAGUCAGUCAUUUGUGCUGACAAAGUUGAUCAAGAGCCACCUGAUGACAGAAAGAUAAUGGAUACAAUCUAUGGUGGGCUAGAGUCUGUUUGUGGCAGCACUCCCUUGGAAAGUUCAGAAAGCUCGACGGAACAGGACUCAUGUGUGAAAUGCGGUAAAGAUGGGCAGUUGCUGAAAUGUUCCAGCUGCUUCUUAGCCGCCCAUGCUACCUGUUUUGGUUCAUCGGUGACAUUCGAUGACUCUGGCCAUUUUGAUUGCCCUGUUUGCUAUUGCCGUAAAGCCGCUAAAGCAUUGGAAAAGGCUAAGAAAACAUACUCUGAAGCUAGAAAAAAAUUAUCUGUUUUCUGCAGCGGCUGGAAGCAAUUUUCUAAGGAACACAGUGAGCUGAUGAAUGGCUUUCACACAGCUAAAAAGCAAGGUAACCAUCAGUCUGAAGCAGCUGAGCUAUGUCGCAAGGAUGGAGAGCCUAGUCAUCUGAAAGAAAAUGGUACAAGUGAUGCUUGUCCUGAGAAUGCAGUCACCACAAAGACAACCAUUUUUUCGAGUUCUGAGAAUGCAAAAUCCCAUGGAGACAGCAAUAGCAAUUUGUCUCAUGAAGUGCCAUAUUCAGCUCGGGAUAGAUCCAGUUCUGUUGCAAAUCGCAACAUUGGGGUUGGCAAAGAGAAUUGUCUAAUGAAUUCUCCCAAUUGCAAUUUUCCUGAUAGACUAGGAGCUAUAUCUUCGCGAAACAUAAGCCGCCGCAAAGUAAGCUUUCAAGAAAUGGGGACAGUGGCACCAAAUAGUACUUGGAAAACAUUGAGGUACCAAGAUCAGUUUGUGCAUUCUCCAGCAAGGAAAAGAUAUUAUCCAUACCCACCCGAGCAUUACUACAGUCCCCACACACCAGCUAUGAGGAGUCCCCUGGCGCCAAGUAAAACGCCUUUUACAGGUAAAACACCUUUCACAUCGACAACCGCGAGGCGCAAGAUGAUCUUCUGGACCGAGGCAGAGGAGGUGGCUCUGAGGGAGGCGGUGGCGAAGUUCGCCCCGAAGGGGGAGGCUGCGAAGGAGAAGAGGUCGAUCUCAUGGGUGCGCAUACACGAGUAUUGCAGGGAGUCGAUCCACCCCACCCGCUGCCCGGACGACCUGCGGAAGAAGUGGAACCGCAUGAAGAACAAGCUGGGUGGGUGUCCUGAAGACGGCAGCGUAGGAGGAGACGGCUGCUUCUGA
rnacentral:rRNA from 1 species